GAUGAACGCUGGCGGCGUGCCUAAUACAUGCAAGUCGAGCGAACAGAUGAGGAGCUUGCUCCUCUGACGUUAGCGGCGGACGGGUGAGUAACACGUGGAUAACCUACCUAUAAGACUGGGAUAACUUCGGGAAACCGGAGCUAAUACCGGAUAAUAUAUUGAACCGCAUGGUUCAAUAGUGAAAGACGGUUUUGCUGUCACUUAUAGAUGGAUCCGCGCCGCAUUAGCUAGUUGGUAAGGUAACGGCUUACCAAGGCAACGAUGCGUAGCCGACCUGAGAGGGGGAUGGGCCAAACAGAAACUGAGACACGGCCCAGCCACCUAGGGAAGGCAGCAGUGGGGAAGUUCCCGAAAAGGGCGAAAGCUUGACGGAGCAACGCAGGGGGGGUGAUGAAGGUCUUCGGAUGGUAAAACUCUUUUAUUAGGGAAAAAAAAAUGUGAAAAUAACUAUGCCCGUCUUGAGGGAACCUAAACAAAAAGCCCCGGCGAAUUCGUU
rnacentral:rRNA from 1 species